GUACACGCUGUGACUAGCAUAUCAAUAAGCGGAGGAAAAGAAACUAACAAGGAUUCCCCUAGUAACGGCGAGUGAAGCGGGAAGAGCUCAAAUUUGAAAUCUUAAAGGGUUUCCCUUUACGAAUUGUAGUUUAAAGAAGUGUUUUCUGUUGAGGUUUUGGUAAAAGUUCUUUGGAAUAGGACAUCAUAGAGGGUGAGAAUCCCGUAUUUGACCUUUACUUUCAACUUUGUGAUACACUUUCAAAGAGUCGGAUUGUUUGGGAAUGCAGUCCAAAAUGGGUGGUAAAUUUCAUCUAAAGCUAAAUAUUGGCGAGAGACCGAUAGCGAACAAGUACCGUGAGGGAAAGAUGAAAAGAACUUUGAAAAGAGAGUUAAACAGUACGUGAAAUUGUCAAAAGGGAAGCGUUUGACACCAGUGUUGUUUUUCUGAAAAUCAAUUAAAGAACUGUUUAUGCUAAGUUGUUUAGACUUUAUCAGCUAACUGUUUAGUUUUGAGCUUUUCUUUAAUGCACUUUUCAGUUAACAAGUCAACAUCAAUUUCUUUUGUUGUAAAAGAGUAUUGCGGAAGGUGGCUUGCGAUUCGUCGAGAAGUGUUUAUAGCCCUAUACUUCUAGCAGUCGGAGAGAUUGAGGUCUGCAGCGUAGAUCCUCGGGGUUAAAUAGCACUUGUGCUAAGUUAUAGCAUUUUCAUAGACAACUUGUUGACUAUGAUUUAGUCUUGUAGCUUACUCGCUUAUGCUAUUUUACCUACGCUUAGGAUGUUGAAGAUGUAGCACAUCAU
rnacentral:rRNA from 1 species